AACGAACGCUGGCGGCAGGCUUAACACAUGCAAGUCGAACGCCCCGCAAGGGGAGUGGCAGACGGGUGAGUAACGCGUGGGAACAUACCCUUUUCUACGGAAUAGCUCUGGGAAACUGGAAUUAAUACCGUAUACGCCCUACGGGGGAAAGAUUUAUCGGGGAAGGAUUGGCCCGCGUUGGAUUAGCUAGUUGGUGGGGUAAAGGCCUACCAAGGCGACGAUCCAUAGCUGGUCUGAGAGGAUGAUCAGCCACAUUGGGACUGAGACACGGCCCAAACUCCUACGGGAGGCAUCAGUGGGGAAUAUUGGACAAUGGGCGCAAGCCUGAUCCAGCCAUGCCGCGUGAGUGAUGAAGGCCUUAGGGUUGUAAAGCUCUUUCACCGAUGAAGAUAAUGACGGUAGUCGGAGAAGAAGCCCCGGCUAACUUCGUGCCAGCAGCCGCCGUAAUAC
rnacentral:rRNA from 1 species